UACGGAGGGUGCAAGCAUUAAUCGGAAUUACUGGGCGUAAAGGGCGCGUAGGCGGUUUAGCAAGUCAUUUGUGAAAUUCCAGAGCUUAACUCUGGAGCUGCAGAUGAAACUGCUAGACUUGAGUAGAAGCGGAGAAAACGGAAUUUCCCAUGUAGCGGUGAAAUGCGUGGAUAUGGGAAGGAACACCGGUGGCGAAAGCGGUUUUCUAGCUUUUAACUGACGCUGAGGCGCGAGAGCAAGGGGAGCAAAC
rnacentral:rRNA from 1 species